rnacentral:rRNA from 1 species
CAGUCGCCGCGGUAAUACAGAGGGUGCGAGCGUUAAUCGGAUUUACUGGGCGUAAAGCGUGUGUAGGUUGUUGUUCAAGUCAGUUGUGGAAUCCCUGGGCUCAACCUGGGAACUGCUUCUGAGACUGAACGACUAGAGUACGGUAGAGGGUGGUGGAAUUUCCGGUGUAGCGGUGAAAUGCGUAGAUAUCGGAAGGAACAUCAAUGGCGAAGGCAGCCACCUGGGCCUGUACUGACACUGAGACACGAAAGCGUGGGGAUCAAACAGGAUUAGAGACCCCCGUAGUCCCUGUCUCUUAUAC